rnacentral:miRNA from 14 species
AAGCUCCCUUCCAUAGGAAGAAGAUGCCAUCUAGGACUUUCAUGGCUGGAGAAAAGACUGCCUGGCUCCAGCGCUGUGAAACACAGGCAGACUCUCUUGUUAGAGGCUUCUGGGACUCUUGACUUUU